rnacentral:rRNA from 1 species
GAGUUUGAUCAUGGCUCAGAACGUACGCUGGCGGCACGCCUAACACAUGCAAGUCGAACGAAGUAGCAAUACUUAGUGGCAGACGGGUGAGUAACAUGUGGGUAUCUGCCCUUUGGCCUGGAAUAACACGAGGAAACUUGUGCUAAUACUGGAUAAGUCUUUACGGAGAAAGCUUUAUGCACCAUUGGAUGAGCCCGCACUUGAUUAGUUUGUUGGUGGGGUAAUGGCCUACCAAGACUGUGAUCAAUAGCUGAUUUGAGAGGAUGAUCAGCCACAUUGGGACUGAGACACGGCCCAAACUCCUACGGGAGGCAGCAGUGGGGAAUCUUGCACAAUGGAGGAAACUCUGAUGCAGCGAUGCCGCGUGAGUGAAGAAGGCCUUUGGGUUGUAAAGCUCUUUCGUCGGGGAAGAAAAUGACUGUACCCGAAUAAGAAGGUCCGGCUAACUUCGUGCCAGCAGCCGCGGUAAUACGAAGGGACCUAGCGUAGUUCGGAAUUACUGGGCUUAAAGAGUUCGUAGGUGGUUGAAAAAGUUGGUGGUGAAAUCCCAGAGCUUAACUCUGGAACUGCCAUCAAAACUUUUCAGCUAGAGUUUGAUAGAGGAAAGCAGAAUUUCUAGUGUAGAGGUGAAAUUCGUAGAUAUUAGAAAGAAUACCAAUUGCGAAGGCAGCUUUCUGGAUCAUUACUGACACUGAGGAACGAAAGCAUGGGUAGCGAAGAGGAUUAGAUACCCUCGUAGUCCAUGCCGUAAACGAUGUGUGUUAGACGUUGGAAAUUUAUUUUCAGUGUCGCAGCGAAAGCGAUAAACACACCGCCUGGGGAGUACGACCGCAAGGUUAAAACUCAAAUGAAUUGACGGGGACCCGCACAAGUAGUGGAGCAUGUGGUUUAAUUCGAAGAUACGCGCAGAACCUUACCAACACUUGACAUGUUCGUCGCAACUUUAAGAGAUUAAAGUUUUCGGUUCGGCCGGACGAAACACAGGUGCUGCAUGGCUGUCGUCAGCUCGUGUCGUGAGAUGUUGGGUUAAGUCCCGCAACGAGCGCAACCCUCACUUUUAGUUGCCAUCAUUAAGUUGGGCACUCUGAAAGAACUGCCAGUGAUAAGCUGGAGGAAGGUGGGGAUGACGUCAAGUCCUCAUGGCCCUUACGUGUUGGGCUACACACGUGCUACAAUGGUAUCUACAACAGGAAGCGAAACAGCGAUGUUAAGCAAAUCCUUAAAAGAUACCUCAGUUCGGAUUGCACUCUGCAACUCGAGUGCAUGAAGCUGGAAUUACUAGUAAUCGUGGAUCAGCGUGCCACGGUGAAUGCGU